rnacentral:rRNA from 1 species
UGGGGAUUGUUCGAGCAAGGCGAACCGCAAUGCCGCGUGUGUGAAGAAGGCCUUCGGGUUGUAAAGCACUUUUGUCCGGAAAGAAAUCCUUGGCUCUAAUACAGUCGGGGGAUGACGGUACCGGAAGAAUAAGCACCGGCUAACUACGUGCCAGCAGCCGCGGUAAUACGUAGGGUGCAAGCGUUAAUCGGAAUUACUGGGCGUAAAGCGUGCGCAGGCGGUUUGCUAAGACCGAUGUGAAAUCCCCGGGCUCAACCUGGGAACUGCAUUGGUGACUGGCAGGCUAGAGUAUGGCAGAGGGGGGUAGAAUUCCACGUGUAGCAGUGAAAUGCGUAGAGAUGUGGAGGAAUACCGAUGGCGAAGGCAGCCCCCUGGGCCAAUACUGACGCUCAUGCACGAAAGCGUGGGGAGCAAACAGGAUUAGAUACCCUGGUAGUCCACGCCCUAAACGAUGUCACUAGUUGUUGGGGAUUCAUUUCCUUAGUAACGUAGCU